UUUGCUCCUUGUUUGCCAUUGAUAGGGGAUAUAGAUCAAACUUAAUUUGGUUUAGCACUUGCUCCUUGUAAUUCUAGUAAUCAAUUAAUUCUUAAACAAAAGUGUAUAAUGUUUAGAAUCUAACAUAUUUUUUUAUUUACUUAAGCCUUGUCAUACUAGCACAAUUUAUUUUAGAACGCAGUGUUAAUUUAUAGGCGGCGGCUUCAUUUCAGGAGUGGCUUGAUCAAGACCAUGCUUCGGCAACUAUUCUACUGCAUUUAGCAGCUUUCUAAGCUGGAGUGAAAAGCUUGGCAAAUGUUGCUCUGGAGUUCAUGAGACUGGUGUCUGUGGACCUCAAGAAGACAUUUUAUGAAGGCCUGGACAGUCAUCUUUCUAAGCUCCUUGAAUUCUCCCGGGCCAAGAGUGGUGGAGGGAUGGAGCUAAAACACCUUAUGGACAGUCUUGACAAAGACAGUUCCAAUCAAAGGUAGAGUGUGCUGUGCUCCGAGGCUUGCCAGACUUCCUGCGAGAAGACCCUACCAAUUUUUUGAAGACGUGAGGUAUACAACCCUACAACAUA